rnacentral:rRNA from 1 species
UACGAAGGUCCCGAGCGUUAUCCGGAUUUAUUGGGUUUAAAGGGUGCGUAGGCGGGUUAUUAAGUCAGUGGUGAAAGCCUUCAGCUUAACUGAAGAAUUGCCAUUGAUACUGAUGAUCUUGAGUAUGAUUGAGGUGGGCGGAAUGUGUCAUGUAGCGGUGAAAUGCUUAGGUAUGACACAGAACACCGAUUGCGAAGGCAGCUCACUAAGCCAUAACUGACGCUGAUGCACGAAAGCGUGGGGAGCAAACAGG